GUUUGUGACGAUCUGCAGUGACUUACAGCUCAGAGCACUGAGAGACUCAACAGAGAACUGAACUGAUCUGACUGAACAUGGACAGAUCCUUUAUACUGAUUCUCAUCUUGGGAACAGGUUUGGUGGCUGGAGACAACAUCGAGCCAGAUAAAGGGACAGAUAAAAUCUCUGAAGAAACAGACACCGUCAAGCUGAGCUGCUCAUAUAGUACAAGUAGUGAAUAUGUUGUGCUUUACUGGUACAGAAAGUAUUCUAAUGGAGAACCGCAGUAUUUAUUACGCAAAGGUGCCCGAUCACGUUAUGAUGAUCACACCUCUGAUGGUCGAUUUAAUUCGGCUACAACACGUACAUCCACUGAACUCACUAUUACUGAUGUACGUCUGUCAGAUUCAGCUCUCUAUUAUUGUGCUCUGAGAGUAGAAGCCCAGUGA